rnacentral:rRNA from 1 species
UACGUAGGUGACCAGCGUUGUCCGGAUUUACUGGGCGUAAAGAGCGCGCAGGCGGUCGUUCAAGUCGAGUGUGAAAGCCCCCGGCUCAACUGGGGAGGGUCAUUCGAUACUGAUCGACUGGAAGGCAGGAGAGGGAAGCGGAAUUCCCGGUGUAGUGGUGAAAUGCGUAGAUAUCGGGAGGAACACCAGUGGCGAAGGCGGCUUCCUGGCCUGUUCUUGACGCUGAGGCGCGAAAGCUAGGAGAGCAAACGGG